UACAGAGGUCUCAAGCGUUGUUCGGAUUCAUUGGGCGUAAAGGGUGUGUAGGUGGCGCGCUAAGUCGGGUGUGAAAUUUCGGAGCUUAACUCCGAAACUGCAUUCGAUACUGGCGUGCUUGAGGACUGGAGAGGAGACUGGAAUUCAUGGUGUAGCGGUGAAAUGCGUAGAUAUCGUAAGGAAGACCAGUGGCGAAGGCGGGUCUCUGGACAGUUCCUGACGCUGAGGCACGAAGGCCAGGGGAGCAAACGGG
rnacentral:rRNA from 1 species